CCUACGGGAGACAGCAGUGGGGAAUAUUGGGCAAUGGGCGCAAGCCUGACCCAGCAACGCCGCGUGAAGGAAGAAGGCUUUCGGGUUGUAAACUUCUUUUCUCAGGGACGAAGAAAGUGACGGUACCUGAGGAAUAAGCCACGGCUAACUACGUGCCAGCAGCCGCGGUAAUACGUAGGUGGCAAGCGUUAACCGGAUUUAUUGGGUGUAAAGGGCGUGGAGGCGGGAGCGCAAGUCAGAUGUGAAAACUCAGGGCUCAACCCUGAGCCUGCAUUUGAAACUGUGUUUCUUGAGUGCUGGGGAGGCAAUCGGAAUUCCGUGUGUAGCGGUGAAAUGCGUAGAUAUACGGAGGAACACCAGUGGGGAAGGCGGAUUGCUGGACAGUAACUGACGCUGAGGCGCGAAAGCGUGUGGAGCAAACAGGAUUAGAUACCCGGGUAGUC
rnacentral:rRNA from 1 species